AUCGAUCAUACCGUGUUGUUGGAAAUACUGAGUGAAAAUUUCUAAGAUGAGCGUUUUAUUCAACUAAUUAAUCGAUUGCUAAAAACAGGUUAUAUGGAC
rnacentral:autocatalytically_spliced_intron from 1 species